GGCUCAGGCAGUGACAGACUGCCGUAAGAAUCCUUCCCCGUUUGGUUUCCAUUUUAAAUCGACACAUAUGGCGAGGGGUUGUUUAAGGGUUUCAAGCGCUCAUGCAUGCUCCCGAGGGAAUAUGGAUGCUGAGAUUUAAGUGAACUCAGGGGGUGCGCCCGGCUUCUCAGCAGCGGGAGAAGCUGGCGGUCGGUGCUGAGGCCUGCGAGGGCCAGAGGGCUCAGAGACGGUGGCCUUGCGUGACAGACGGAAGCACAGAGACGCCCCUCAGACGCGAGGCAUUGACUUGUGAUCCAGUGUCGUUCCGACCGAAUGCAACUUGGGGAAGAAAGGGCUUGUUUCAGGUUACGGUCCUCCACCCAGGCAACUGAAACUAACUCCAACACAUUAGGAAUUUACUGGAAGGCUUCCAGACAGCUCUGGAGAGGCUGGGAAGCAUGGAGGAAAACGGCCUGGGGAAACGAGAGGAAGCAGGGAUGAUGAAGACAUCUGGGUAGAGUUGCAGAUAACGGUAGACAUCUGGCUAUAUCUGCAAGUCCGGGCACCAACGUUGGAAUCAAAGGGCUUGCUCCCUGUGUGUGCCUCUUCUCUUAUAGCCCUACGGCCUGAGGUUAAGGAGCUCCAGGGGGCGAUCCGGUUUGCUGUUAUGUGAUAAAACAGUUUUGACCUAAA